rnacentral:rRNA from 1 species
AUGAGAGUUUGAUCCUGGCUCAGGAUGAACGCUGGCGGCAUGUCUAAGGCAUGCAAGUUGAACGAAACACCUUCCUUCGGGAAGUUGAAAAGUGGCAAACGGGAGAGUAACACAUUGGUAACCUACCUCGAACUCGUGAAUAGCCCGUGGAAACGCGGAGUAAUACACGAUAUUGAUGGGGGGACUUCGGUCAUUCCCAUUGAAAGAUUUAUCGGUUCGAGAGGGGCCUAUGUUCUAUCAGCUUGUUGGUGAGGUAAAAGCUCACCAAGGCUACGACGGAUACCGGGCGUGAGAGCGUGGCCCGGCUCACUGGGACUGAGACACGGCCCAGACUCCUACGGGAGGCUGCAGUCAAGAAUCUUCCGCAAUGCACGAAAGUGUGACGGAGCAAUGCCGCGUGGUGGAUGAAGGCCUUCGGGUCGUAAACACCUUUUAUGAGGGACGAACAAAUGACGGUACCUCAAGAAUCAGGGGCUGCUAAUCACGUGCCAGCAGCAGCGGUAAUACGUGAGCCCCAAGCGUUAUCCGGAUUUAUUGGGCGUAAAGGGUCCGUAGGUGGUCUCGUUAGUCAUAUGUUAAAUCUUCAGGCUCAACCUGGAGGCCGCGUGUGAUACUGCGAGACUAGAGGACGGGAGAGGCAGACGGAAUUGUUGGUGUAGCGGUAAAAUGCGUUAAUAUCAACAAGAACACCAAAGGCGAAGGCAGUCUGCUGGAACGAUCCUGACACUGAGGGACGAAAGCGUGGGUAGCGAAUGGGAUUAGAUACCCCAGUAGUCCACGCCGUAAACGAUGAGUGCUAGGUUUUGGGAGUUUCGACCCUCUCAGAGCCGGUUAACCAAGCUAACGCGUUAAGCACUCCGCCUGGGUAGUACGAGCGCAAGCUUAAAACCUAAAGGAAUAGACGGGGACCCGCACAAGCGGUGGAGCGUGCGGUUUAAUUCGAUGCUAAGCGAGGAACCUUACCUGGGCUUGAAAAAUAGCUGCAAACCAUCCGAAAGGAAGGUCGCUUUCGAAGGUGCUAUUUAGGUGCUGCAUGGUUGUCGUCAGCUCGUGGCGUGAGCUGUUCCCUUAAGUGGGGUAACGAGCGCAACCCUUAUCUGAUGUUACAAGUGUCAUCAGAGACUGCCCGGGCAACCGGGAGGAAGGUGAGGAUGACGUCAAAUCAGCAUGGCCCUUACGUCCAGGGCGACACGCGCGCUACAAUGGCCAGUACAAUGGGCAGCCAACCCGCAAGGGGGAGCUAAUCCUAUAAAGCUGGUCCCAGUUCGGAUUGAGGUCUGCAACUCGACCUCAUGAAGAUGGAAUCGCUAGUAACGGCGGAUCAGCCACGCCGCCGUGAAUACGUUCUCGGGUCUUGUACUCACCGCCCGUCACGUCAAGAGAGUUGGUAACACCCGAACGUCGCCGUAGGGCGGCGGAAGGUGGGAUCGAUGAUAGGGACGAAGUCGUAACAAGGCACCCGUAGCGGAAGCUGUGGGUGGAUCACCUCCUUUUUA